GGAAGUAGAGAGGAGACAUUGCAGGAACUGGCAACAGAGGAGUGCCUCCACCUCACUGCCUGACAACAGAGGUAACCAGUGCCAAGAAGAUUCUAGAAAUCACCAACAAGAUCAUUAAUCUGCUGACAGGAGAGGUUCCUAUAAGGUGUCAGGAUGUCACUGUCUAUUUCUCCAU